CAAUCUUGGUCCCUAACUCUGUCCCUCUCUCUAUACCUAUCCCUGUCCUUCUCCCUCUCCCUUUUCCUUUCCUGAUCUCUGUGACUAUCACUAGACCAAGUCACAUCUUUAUCUUUUCUUUUAUCUUUUUCUUUCUGCCUUUUCCUAUCCAGCUCCUCCUCUAUGUCCCCGCUCCUGUCCCAUUCUUUCUCCCUCCUCCUAUCCCUCUCCACCUCCCU
rnacentral:misc_RNA from 1 species